AACGCUGGCGGCAGGCCUAACACAUGCAAGUCGAACGGCAACAUUUCUAGCUUGCUAGAAGAUGACGAGUGGCGGACGGGUGAGUAAUGCUCGGGAACUUGCCUUUGCGAGGGGGAUAACAGUUGGAAACGACUGCUAAUACCGCAUAAUGUCUUCGGACCAAACGGGGCUUCGGCUCCGGCGCAAAGAGAGGCCCAAGUGAGAUUAGCUAGUUGGUAAGGUAACGGCUUACCAAGGCGACGAUCUCUAGCUGUUCUGAGAGGAAGAUCAGCCACACUGGGACUGAGACACGGCCCAGACUCCUACGGGAGGCAGCAGUGGGGAAUAUUGCACAAUGGGGGAAAUCCUGAUGCAGCCAUGCCGCGUGUGUGAAGAGGGCCUUCGGGUUGUAAAGCACUUUCAGUUGUGAGGAAAAGUUAGUAGUUAAUACCUGCUAGCCGUGACGUUAACAACAGAAGAAGCACCGGCUAACUCCGUGCCAGCAGCCGCGGUAAUACGGAGGGUGCGAGCGUUAAUCGGAGUUACUGGGCGUAAAGCGCACGCAGGCGGUUUGUUAAGCUAGAUGUGAAAGCCCCGGGCUC
rnacentral:rRNA from 1 species